UUACCCUCACUCUCAAGUCUCAAGCAGCUCCAAAGCCUCCAACCCUUGUUCCUCUUCCUUAUUCUUCCUUCCUCUCAUUAUUCACAUUUCCUUUUCUUGUAUAGUAAUAUGUGUGGUCUUACUUUAUUGUAUUUUUUUAAUCUCAGUUGUAUACGACUUCAUUGUUGUGAGCAUGGGUGCACCAAAGUUUUGAAGUGAUGAAAAGCUCAGUUCGCGAUUUGAAGAGUCCAAAGGAAAGAGCUUUGAAUAUUUGUGUAGCCCACUCGUACUUGUUGCGCCCUCUAAUGUUUUAAUGUGUGUGUAAAUUCAGCCGCUCAACUUUGAAACUGCAAUUUUCGGGGCUGUAUUAUUAUUAUUAUUAUUAUUAUUAUUAUUAUUAUUAUUAUUAUUAUUAUUAUUAUUUUGUGUAUCCAUAUUUAUCUGAAGCUCUUGAUCAUCAAAUUGCGAAUUGGGUUUUUCGUCACUUUAAAGCUGUGGUGUGCCAAUGCUCACUACGACCAAGUCCAAGCUUUCGUAAAGAAUACGCUGAAAGUAAGAUCAUGCAAUUUACUCACCAACUCAGACAAUCGCAUCACCAAAAUCAUUUGGUGGUAUCAUCAAUUUCUCAUUGCAUGGAGUGACAUUGCUUUUCUUUUUUCUAUUAUUAAUUCUCUUUUAAGUGCUCGUAUUGAAUAGAUGUCAUGAUUGAAACUUUAAACAAAAGCUAGGUCUGUUGUGAAGCUCAACUCAAUUGGUCCCAAGCUGCAGAAAUGUGUUAUCAGCUGAACAACUGUCUUGAAGUUAAAAUAAUUCUCUCGACAAAGGAUUCCCCCCUUUAAGGGUAAACCCAAGUAUUUCAUCGGCCAAGAUCCCACUUCACAACCCAAUUCCCCAGCCAACAAAUUAAUAGUUUUGAGAGAAAUUUUAAGAGAGUGAAUGUAUUUUGAAAGUUAUUACCCCUCGAGGGUUCAAGAAACAGUAGGAUGGAUGUCGUUUACAGUAUCGUGUUGCGACUGUAUUGCAGGGAAACAGCUGAUGUUGCGAAUUGUGCAGAGUUUGUGCCGAGACGAGACAUCCUGGCAGGACCAAGAAGCAAGAGCCUGCAUCCGUGUCGAAUGCGCUGGAACUUCUAAAUCCGGCAAGGGUGGGAAAAAGAAGAGAUAGUUCUAAUUUUACUUUUUACUUUUUUUUUUUCUUUUGGCUGGAAGAAAAAGGGUUGUAGAGAUAGUGUAACCGUACUCAUGUGUACUCGGUUGGUGUAUUUUACUCGAUAAAAUGAAAGACACUAAAAACCUAUUGGAGUGUUUAUUAGUUAUUAUUUUUAA